GAUGAACGCUGGCGGCGUGCCUAAUACAUGCAAGUCGAGCGAACAGACGAGGAGCUUGCUCCUCUGACGUUAGCGGCGGACGGGUGAGUAACACGUGGAUAACCUACCUAUAAGACUGGGAUAACUUCGGGAAACCGGAACUAAUACCGGAUAAUAUAUUGAACCGCAUGGUUCAAUAGUGAAAGACGGUUUUGCUGUCACUUAUAGAUGGAUCCGCGCCGCAUUAGCUAGUUGGUAAGGUAACGGCUUACCAAGGCGACGAUGCGUAGCCGACCUGAGAGGGUGAUCGGCCACACUGGAACUGAGACACGGUCCAGACUCCUACGGGAGGCAGCAGUAGGGAAUCUUCCGCAAUGGGCGAAAGCCUGACGGAGCAACGCCGCGUGAGUGAUGAAGGUCUUCGGAUCGUAAAACUCUGUUAUUAGGGAAGAACAAAUGUGUAAGUAACUAUGCACGUCUUGACGGUACCUAAUCAGAAAGCCACGGCUAACUACGUG
rnacentral:rRNA from 1 species